rnacentral:lncRNA from 12 species
CAGGCUGCUGAUAGUAUUCCCAGAUGACAUCACCGACACACUAGAUGAUGAAGCAGAAUCCAGUAAUUCAGUUUAACAACUAUUUACUGGUCACCAAGGAUGAGUAAGGCUGGAGUGAUUUGAUCCAGGCCUAGCAGCAUAGAUGGUGAAGAUUUUAUCGCAAAGUAAAUGUCAGCCACAAGUGGGCAUCAAGGAUAGUCCAGCUUAAUUGCAGCAAGCUUUUACGGAAGUCUUCUCCACGUUCUUCUUCUAGCAUAUCUAAAGCUUAUAGUUUUGAGAAAGAGAUGAGAAGGAAAACAGCAAUAUUUCAUAAAACAUCAAAGAAGAGUCAUUGAUGCUGCCCUGAAGAAAUAUUUAAUGAUAAACCUAUGCUAAACUUAAUAAUAUGCAUUGUGUUUUCAUUUCCCUUCCUCAUUCUCUCUCUUU